rnacentral:lncRNA from 1 species
AAAUGGUCCAGAUUCCUAUUACCAAGCUAUUUUUAUACUUCUCCAAAUGGAGUUCUAAGUGGGUGCAAAUUACCUCUGUAACUUAAUAGAUGUGAAUAUGCAUCCCAUUAUUAGAAACAGUUAGAAAGAGGGAUUGAUGGAGAAGCACUCACACUAGCAGAGCUCACUGCAAAAUUUAUUGUUCUCGAACUUAUACUUUUUUUUUCUUUUUGUGCUUCUAGAAAACGGUGGAGUGAAUUUGAUGCUAAUGAAAGGGUGAUUUUACAGCCUGGGAUACCAGAAUUCUGUUUAUGCAGUGAACAGCUUUGCAGUGUGGAUAUCUGUGCAGAUGAAAUGUUGGAAAAUGUACAAGGAGGGUCACUGUUUGAACUAGUGUUAUAGCAGAUUACAGCUUGAUUUUUUAAGAAAAAGAAAGAACAGUACUGCACACCCUUACAUUCUCUGCAGAAAGGCGACUUGUGGCUUUUGGGAAAACCAGAGCUUCUACCUGGCAAGAAGUGGAUGGUGAACACCCAGCCUUUUUCUUCUAAGGCCUCACCAGAAGGAGAAAGAUGCUCAAGAAGAGGAAGGGUUUCCAUUCCAAAUGCACAGAGAAGAGAAGGAAGGAUAUGGCAAAGUUUUACCCCUAAAAUCCUGGCUGGGACAUACUUGCAGUAAUUGGACGAUAUAAAGGAUCACAUCCAAUGCAUCAUUUCUGACCUUGGUAUUCUUUACUGUUUUCUUUGCCAAACAAUGACAAAUAAUUACUGUCAUGGGAAGUUUCUGGUUUUAGAGUUCAUUUCCUGUCUUUGAAAUCAUGGAAAUUCAUUUGAAUUGACCAUUUUUGAUAUAUCUGCAUAGAGACAAAAGUUCAAGUGUUU